CAGUAGCCGCGGGAACACCAGCAGCCCAAGUGGUGGUCGCGUUUAUUGGGCCUAAAGCGCUCGUAGCCUGGCCGGUAAGUUCCCCGUGAAAUCGGGUCGCCCAACGAUUCGGCUUGCGGGGAAUACUGUCGGUCUUGGGGCCGGGAGACGCCGAGGGUACUCCGGGGGUAGCGGUGAAAUGCUGUAAUCCUCGGGGGACUACCAGUGGCGAAGGCGCUCGGCGAUAACGGGCCUGACGGUGAGGGGCGAAAGCUGGGGGCGCGAACGGGAUUAGAUACCCCCGUAGUCCCUGUCUCUUAUA
rnacentral:rRNA from 1 species